rnacentral:rRNA from 1 species
AUUGAACGCUGGCGGCAUGCUUUACACAUGCAAGUCGAACGGUAACAGGCCGCAAGGUGCUGACGAGUGGCGAACGGGUGAGUAAUGCAUCGGAACGUGCCCAGUCGUGGGGGAUAACGCAGCGAAAGCUGCGCUAAUACCGCAUACGAUCUAUGGAUGAAAGCGGGGGACCGUAAGGCCUCGCGCGAUUGGAGCGGCCGAUGUCAGAUUAGGUAGUUGGUGGGGUAAAGGCUCACCAAGCCAACGAUCUGUAGCUGGUCUGAGAGGACGACCAGCCACACUGGGACUGAGACACGGCCCAGACUCCUACGGGAGGCAGCAGUGGGGAAUUUUGGACAAUGGGCGCAAGCCUGAUCCAGCAAUGCCGCGUGCAGGAAGAAGGCCUUCGGGUUGUAAACUGCUUUUGUACGGAACGAAACGGCUCUGGUUAAUACCUGGGGCUAAUGACGGUACCGUAAGAAUAAGCACCGGCUAACUCUGUGCCAGCCGCCGCCGUAAAAC